CGACCGCUGGCGGCGUGCUUACCACAUGCACGUCGACCGGAAAGGCCCCUUUGGGGGUACUCGAGUGGCGAACGGGUGAGUAACACGUGAGUAACCUGCCCUUGACUUCGGGAUAACUUCAGGAAACUGGGGCUAAUACCGGAUAGGAAUCCUUGCUGCAUGGUGGGGGUUGGAAAGCUUCGGCGGUUUUGGAUGGACUCGCGGCUUAUCAGCUUGUUGGUGGGGUAGUGGCUUACCAAGGCUUUGACGGGUAGCCGGCCUGAGAGGGCGACCGGCCACAUUGGGACUGAGAUACGGCCCAGACUCCUACGGGAGGCAGCAGUGGGGAAUAUUGCACAAUGGGCGGAAGCCUGAUGCAGCAACGCCGCGGGCGGGAUGACGGCCUUCGGGUUGUAAACCGCUUUCAGCAGGGGCGAAGCUUGUGGUGACGGUACCUGCAGAAGAAGCACCGGCUAACUACGUG
rnacentral:rRNA from 1 species